GUCCAGGGUUCAAGUCCCUGUUCGG
rnacentral:piRNA from 5 species